ACCGAAAUAGCUGUUGGGAGAGCGUCAGAGUAUUAAUCGAAAAGUCCCUGGUUCGAUCCCGGGUUCCGGCA
rnacentral:tRNA from 1 species